UUUAAACAAUCUUUAAUAUACACGAAGUAUAGUAAAUUAAUAUUUGAACAAUACUACAUUUGUUUAAAUAUUACAUAGCUCGGAACGUGCAUUAAAUAUAAAAUAAUUUUAUUGUAAUAUUUCAAUACUUUUAAAGUUAAUGUAGCGGUCGCUGGCUUUGUGAAGGUCAACACACAUACAUCUCUAAUUAACUUUGAUUGUUAUUAGAUCAGUUUUCCUCUGUAUUUCGAAGAGUAAGCGUCGCAGAUCUAGGAUAUCUUUUCUACAAGUAUCAACGAAGACUUAAAAACAUCAUUGCAAUUGUGUGCGAAGCGAUGAUGUAUCGCUAAAUUAAAAAUAUUGCGAAGUAGAAGCAGUGCUUGUUCGUUCGCGUUUCGCGAUUUAAACAAUAAGUGUUUUUGCAUCGACUGCGUGCAAUGCUGUCGUUAGAGUCAGUGUUUGAUCGCAAAGUUUCUUGCUUUUUUAAUAGUCGCACAGACUAUAUUUAUAAAAAACAAUAAAUUUUCGCGAAUUAACUUCAGUGACCGUCCGUUAAAAAAAUAACUAUCCCGUAAUAGAGUCAGUGCAUCAUUAAAGAGGAUCUCGACCAACUUUGACAUCAACCUACUUCAUUUUCAACCAACUAUGAAUCAUGCAUCCUCAAUUUCGACCUAAAUCAGGGACGAGUGUUUUGGAGCCAUCGCAGAACUUCUUAAGCAAUAAGUUACUCUACGAUAUUCAUUGAUGCUACUAUAAAAGAAGGUUAGAAGACAAGGAUAAUAGAGCAAAGUUCAUAGGUUCUUUCUUUAGAGAAGUAGGAAUUCGUGCGAUGCGAUUCGCGCAGCACGGCACUAUGGCGCGUCACUUCCUGACCGCGUGAGUGAGCUCUGACCCGUUUUACGAAGAAAGAAGCCAGGUCGAGUCUCUAUCGGCUGUCCAUCUGGUUGGCGUGUGACCUUUCGCAUCCUCGAGCCACCCCUUCUUUGCCUUGCGAAUAACGAGCGAAGAUAUGCAUUAUAGCGUGCAUAAAUUAGUAGAGCGAAAGCACAGAGACAAUAAGUUUUCUUUCAUUUUCCCUCGAACGCGAUGCUUAUUAUCCAUUUGUUUUUCGAAUGAUGAAAUCGUAAAAGAGUGAUAACGUCGUUUGCGAGAAUAAUGGUUUUAUGAAAGUCAAGCUUAAAUGUCAACUGGUUCGUGCGAAAAUUCGAAUAUUAAAGGCACAUUCCGUCGGGAAGUUCGAGUUCUCAACGACGUCGCUCUCGACGGUUUUUACGAAGAUUUCCGAUAAGGGAAUACGGCGAAAAACGGAAACCAUUUUACCUGGCAAAUGUGCGGAGUAGUUCUGCAGUUAUCACGAAACGACGAAAAAUAAAGAAGGAUACGUUCGCUGCGUUUAAAUUUGACAAGAUGAUGCGAGCUUAAAGAAAAGUUUAAACAUGCUCUUGAUAUUUUCCUAUUUAGUUUAAGAAAAAAUAAAGUUCAUGUUUAAUGACGUUAAUUUACUUAACUUCGCGAGGUUAGCAUACGGCUCUUUCAUCGAUCAUCUUUUAUCACAAGCCACGAACAUUAGUAAAAUUCAUAAUUCAUCUUCCUUAAUCUCCUCGUAUUUAUAUAAAACUAUACACACGUGUAUGUAUGUAUA